rnacentral:lncRNA from 1 species
AAAUAGAUGCAGGUAAUUAAUCAACAUAAAAGAAUGGUGUAAAACGUGACAUCUCCUCAAUAUACUUAGCCAGUUCCACCAAGAACAGCCUUAAGCUUCUUCACUGUAGCAUCAUCAAGGAAGGUAGUCGCCUCCACCAACGAAGAAGGCAAAUCAUUUGCAAACAAAGCAAAAUCAAGAAUCUGUAAGCCAGGUGUCGCGCUACUGAAGCUCGCAAAUGCAACAGCUGUCACCCCACCAGCAUUAACUUGAAAAUGCAACAGCCCUUGUGGGAACACCAUAAGAUCACCCUUCUGUAAAGUCUUGACAUAAACAGUGUUAGCCGAUGAGAUAAACCCAGCCUUGAUGAACCCUUGGGUCACCAGUAAAAGCUCGGACCCACCUGGGUGGGUGUGCAUUGGGACCACACCACCCGGGGCUAAGUCCAACCGGGCAAUGGAGAUCCCGAGCCCGUUGACUCCGGGCAGCUGGGCAGCGAAUGCUGGAGUGACAGCGGCUUUGAUGAUGUUGGAAAGGUUUCCUGAAGCACGAAGGCCUGUGGAUACAAAGUCAUCAACUGUGACUACUGUGGCUGGUUUGCAGGCAUAUCCAGCGGGGCUUUCUGGGAAUUUUACGUCUGCGACACAGAAGUCUUGGACUGCUGCGUGAGUGGUGAAGGUGAAGAGAGAAAGGAGUAAGAGAAUGUGGAUCAUUUUUACUUUGGAUUUGUGAUGUGGGAUUUGAAUGAAGGAUUGAUGAGUGUUGUGGGAUGUUUAGGUGGUGUUUAUAUACAGGGUGGAUGUGGUUUUGGUGUAAUAUGAAGAGAUAGCCAUGCAAAGGAACUGCAACCAUAGGAUUUGAUCUUCUGAAAAAAGUGGAAAAGAAAGCUGGAGUGGUAGUGACAUCCAUGUUACUAGCUAUAGACGUCGAUACAACAGAUAAGACCUUUUAGGUGAAGAAAGUUAUUACAAAAAGCGAAAAUUGGCUCUGAAUUUCCAAUCAUUGGUAAUUCCUUUUUUUAUAAUCUUUCUAUACUUGUUAAUUUUUUUGGCAUAUUAUUUUCCACUAAUUUUAUUUCACAAAAACAUAUUUUCACAAACUUUUUCAAUGAUAACCGUUUCAAAAAACAAUUCAAAAUUAAUUCCUAUGUUAUAUAAAGACCCUCGUAUAUAUAGUUUGUUGUUUUUAAGUAUGUGUUGCAUUUUCGGAAAAUAACAUUUGACAUUAAGACGGGAGAGAGUGGCUCGCUAAAGGCGCCAAGUCUACUCCGUAAGAUAUGCUAAGAAACUUCCCGGAUAAGGCUCCUUGUUAGCAAGAGAAAAAAGAAAGAGGCAAAGAGAAUAAUGGCUUGUAAUUGAUAUUUUUUCUUUUGUUAUUUUAAAUUAGUUCUUUUGAUUGGUUCUUUUCAUUUGACUUUUUUUUUUUUUCUAAAAUCCAAGUGUAAUAUUUUUUUUAUGAUAAAAGCUUAGAUGGAAGGUAAAUAUGUGAUGUGACAAUGUACUUAGCAUGUGGCAAGUAUGUUACCAUUCCAUAUAGUUUAAUCUUCAAUAUCUUCUCUAGUAAAUAGAAAUAAUUUUGUCGAUUGUCAUCUUCUAAUGCAUUAUGUCACAUGAUUUUUUCUUAUUAUUUUUAUUUUUUUUUCAUAUGUCAUUUUAUGUUUUUUUUUUCAUUUUAUUAAAUGAGAAAUUGUCAGAAAAUACUCAAUAUUUUCGAAAAAAUUUCACUUUAGUCCCAAAUUUUAAUUUUUGAAUAGAAAAGUCUCGAUUAUUUGAUUUUGGCUCAAAUUAACAAAAAAUAUUUUUUUUUCUUUUAACAUUAAAUGACAUAUUAUCGUGUAAAAUCAAAUAAUCGAGACUUUUCUGUUCAAAAAGUAAAAUUUGGGUAUUGAGACUUUUCUGAUAAUUUCCCUUAUUAAAUUCCUCAUAAUAUUAAAUGUAAUAAUAAAUGAUAUAUCAAUUUCAUUAAUGGACUUUUCUUUUAAUUUCAAAAUUACAAAAUUAAAGUCUCAUUAGUUUUCUUUGUUUAUUUAUCUAAAUUCAAACUUUUGAAAUGUUUAGAAUUUCAUAUUUAGAUUUUCUUUUAAAUAAAUUCAUAUAAUACAUAGGUCUCACACCAAAUAAUAUUUGAAAGUUUUGUCAAUUACCUUUUAAUAUAAAUUUCAAUAAUAUUUAUUUAGUUAAAUAAAUUAACUAUAAAAAAAUAUAAAGUUUUAAUAUCGAAUACAGCUAUGGGUGUAAAAUGAAAUGUUAUUAAAUAUAAGGAGAGUUUUGUCAUUUAAAAAUCUCUGAUAAAAAAGCUAUCAAUUUCUUUUCUAAUUAUUAUUAUUAUUAUUUUAUUUAUUUAUUUAUUUAUUUUGGCAAAGAAGAUGAUGUGUAGUGAUCAUGAUCACAUUCAUGUCUAUUUAAAUUGUUUUUUAGGGACCAUGAUCAAAGUGCUUUUUAGCCAACUAGUUAAUGAUAUCCAUGCGAUUCACUCUGUGCGCAUGUCUUAGAGAUAUUUUAGGUGCAUUUCUUUGCUUAACCCUUGAACACGAAGGACGUAAGACUAUGUAACAAUCCUUGAUUAUUUUAUGCAUAUGAAUAUAUACACAUAGUUUGGAGUUUAAUUUCUUCUGAUUGUAUUGGCAAAACUGUAAUUAACUAGUUUUUUUAAAAGACUUUAUAAUGCCAUAGGUUUAAAAAAAAAUUUAUUGUUGGUUCAAGUGGAAAUUUGGUGAUUUAGGUAAUUCGGUUAUCAAAUUAAUAGUUAAAAGGGCUACGAUUGGAAGUGGUAUUUUUUGCGACCAAAGGGGAUAAUGAACGGAUGGCCACAAUCUUCUUCCAUAUUUAUAAGUCUUUGGCCAAAAGUCUCUUGCUAAAGCUAAAAGUUGCAAAAUGAGUGUCUUGAAGGUUAGGUAAUGCGUUAAAUGGUCUUCGGCGAAAAAUAAAUGAUUUUAAUACGAAAUGAGAGUCUAUCAAUUUUGUAAAUAAAAUAAAAGGAUAUUACUUAAUGGAGUAAUAUAUAUUUUUAUUUUGUUCUUAUUUGGUAACAUAAAUUUUUUUAUGCAUUUGAACAUUUAACUUAUUUCUUUUUACGUAUCUAAUUUUUAUAAUCGGGUACUCGGGGCUAAACCAGAAAAAUGACGUAAUAUGAUAAUAUAAUUUUCAGUUUGUAUAAAUUUAUUCUUUAAUAUUUUUGUACAUGUUUAGUCCUUAAGAUCGGUUUCUUCGGUUUUGUUCAUGACAUCCUACGUGGGACAAUCAUUAAUGAUGUGUUUUCAUAUGUGGCCCGUCCCUCACUUAUAUCAGUAACUGUUAAAACGUUGUCGUGUACAUCUUAAACAAAUAAAAAUCACUGUUUGGUUGUACUAAUGGGUAGCUCAGGGAAGCUUGGUCGAAUCCUUAAAGACACAACCUAAAAGCCAAUAUCUCUUUACGUACGACACAAUUAGUCAAAAACAUAAAAAUAUAAAAAGAGUUUUUUGCUGUGAAUUAAUAACUGAAAAUAGCAGUGAAAAUAACUUAAUAAAAUUCAAUAAUAAAAAGUGUUUUAGUUUUUUGUGAUUUUCCUAAUUAUGUAAUCAAUACAAAACUUGGUUAUUUAAUAUAUGUUCUAUCUAGAGUGGUACUGAAAACUACUAACAAGCUCUAGUUAGUUCUCUUUUACCUAGUUAAUUAACUAAAACAAGCUAUUCAAUUAAUCCUAACUUUUUACUAACCUAAUUAAACACACUUUUAAUAAUGUUAGGAAAGCAACAUUAUGAUAUGUGUAAAAUUCUCAGCAAUAUUUAAUACUUCUAACAAACUAUGGUGAUCAUUCAAAGGGAUAGGAUGAUCAUUCUCUGGUUCUUCUCCAAACCAUCCAGCAAUGACUUCGUUCGGAAGAUACGGAUUGCCGUGAGGAUGGAGUCCAGCCAUGUUAUCUACGCGAGAAUUGGGGUAAGAAAAUAAUUAUUAGACGAACUAUCUAGAUAAUUAUUUAGAAAAUCUUCAUUAGUUACAUCACUAUUUGUGAAGUGCAUACCAGUUAUAUGUAAUCGAAACAUGAUAGACCUUCGAAUAAGUGACCUUAACUCCAAAUUCACAAAGAAUAGGGGUAAAACAAAAUUUUCACAUAUUUUAAGUCUAUAACAUCCUAGUUACAUAUAGUCUUAGUGUUUCCACUUAGCAACUAUCAACUUAGUAAUGAAGAUCCCGUUUAGUUCUCAAGUAUGAAGUACUUAUAGUAACACCAAAUACCCCUAUAAUAUUUUUGGUUUAUGUUCUAUUGUUCUCAUUGUGGUAUUGUUGGUAAGAUUUUAGACUUGUUGCAACCACACAACUACACUUAGGCACAUGCUAUUCAGCCCUCGGAUAAUAUAGUUGAUCAGGCUAUAUCUUCCCAGUUUUGACUAUAUGUCUCUAAGUCUACUUGUGCUGCCCAACAAUCGUAAUUCUUUUGUAUUGUCCUAGUGACACUAAUUUUAGAAUGAAUGCAGGCACGUAUACUUAAUUAAAUAUUUUACUAUUUAAAGUAUAAACUCUUGGUCAGAGUAUUUUAAUCCCAUUGUAUUUAUAGUCUGUAUAUCUUUUAUGGGUUGAUAUACUUAAUUCACUAUAAACAAUGCUCUGAUACCAAUCUGUCACACCCCAAAACCAUGAACGGCGGAAACGUUCUGGGGCGGAGGACGUCAUGUACAGUAUCACAACAAUGAAUAGUAGUAAACAAGCAACAACAUCAUCCAUUGCAUUAAUAAUAUAAUUUUAAUACAAGUGUUCUGAUAUGUCUAAUAGACACUAAAGUAUAAAUCAAAAUGAAAGAUGAGUCUUGAACGAGCUCCAUCUUCUCUAAACCUUGCAUCGGUACCUGUCUACUGUUGACCUGAGGAUACAAGUUAUUUUGAAAGAGAGUAUCAGCUUUAAAGCUGGUGAGAUCAUAAGUAUUUUAGUGUCUUAAUUUGUAUGUAAGUAUUUGUACGUAUAUGAAAUGUAAGUAUUUGUAUGUAUAUGAACUGUAAGUAUUUGUAUGUAUAUGAACUGUAAGUAUUUGUAUGUAUAUGAACUGUAAGUAUUUGUAUGUAUAUGAACUGUAAGUAUUUGUAUGUAUAUGAACUGUAAGUAUUUGUAUGUAUAUGAACUGUAAGUAUUUGUAUGUAUAUGAACUGUAAGUAUUUGUAUGUAUAUGAACUGUAAGUAUUUGUAUGUAUAUGAACUGUAAGUAUUUGUAUGUAUAUGAACUGUAAGUAUUUGUAUGUAUAUGAACUGUAAGUAUUUGUAUGUAUAUGAACUGUAAGUAUUUGUAUGUAUAUGAACUGUAAGUAUUUGUAUGUAUAUGAACUGUAAGUAUUUGUAUGUAUAUGAACUGUAAGUAUUUGUAUGUAUAUGAACUGUAAGUAUUUGUAUGUAUAUGAACUGUAAGUAUUUGUAUGUAUAUGAACUGUAAGUAUUUGUAUGUAUAUGAACUGUAAGUAUUUGUAUGUAUAUGAACUGUAAGUAUUUGUAUGUAUAUGAACUGUAAGUAUUUGUAUGUAUAUGAACUGUAAGUAUUUGUAUGUAUAUGAACUGUAAGUAUUUGUAUGUAUAUGAACUGUAAGUAUGAAAACGUUUUGAACAUCCUAGAAAACCAUAUGUUUCCUACUAAAAGUAUCCUUCUACCAAGGCAUCUAGUAUCUGUGUGUGUGUCUCUUGUAAGAGUGUGUAUUUUCCCAAUUCUGACUAUCAUUAACCAAAAAUAUAGCUUCUACAUUGGCGUGCAUCGUGUGAAUGUUCACGAAGUGAAUGUAAUGGGAAAACGAAAUAGUACUAUGGUGUAGUAUCAAAUAACUACAAUCGUACUAACUACCUUAAAUCUAUUGUAAUUUAAAUUAACAUGUGAUUGGCCUGUAUCCUGCUACCGACUCUAGUAAAACGACGAUGUAAGACGCCGUAAGAAAUGACAUUUGGCACUCGUAGACUUGCAAGUCCCACUGUAGCGAGCAGCAAGGUGUAGGAUAGUCAAUCCAGUAUAGAUCUAUACGCAAACUCAUACGCUCCCCAAUUGAGGAGAUUCGGGAUACAAGAGUGGUCAUGGCAGGAAGUGCCAUGACCCGCUCAAUGGUUCACAUAACUGCAUGAAUUUAUAUGCAAUGAAUGUCCUAGCUGAAAGUGUAAUCUUUCCCUGUCUAGCCUGUAUGUACUGAAAUGUUCUCUCUAUCUAGCUGUAAUGUGUGUUCUCUCUAUCUAGCAUGUAUAGUAAUGUACGGUGUGUGCUAGCUGUAAUGUGUGUUCUCUCUAUCUAGCAUGUAUAGUAAUGUACGGUGUGUACUAGCUGUAAUGUGUGUUCUCACUAUCUAGCAUGUAUAGUAAUGUAUUGUAAUGUUCUGCGUGUGCUAGCUGUAAUGUGUGUUCUCUCUAUCUAGCAUGUAUAGUAAUGUACCGUAUAUACUACUCGUACUGACUCAUGAAUGAGCUGACUCAUUGUAUGUUUUAUUGUUCUAGUAAUAGUAUUAGUAUCUUCCUAUGCUACCCAUAUGGUAGCUUACUAGUAAUGUAAGUGGUACGUAUGAACAUGGAAGUAUACCCUUGCUACCCAAGGGCAUUGAACUGACUGGAAGAACCUUUAUGACUAUAUAUGUAUACAUAAUAUAUAACUAAUAUUUAGACGACCUUCGUACGGAUAAUCGAUGCCCUAACGCCACAUCCCAACGAGGAAAAGGAGGUAAAGCGAGCUAACCUUCCUAAGUCCUUUAAACAUUACUUAUGUAACUAUACAUAUCUAGGCAUGCAAUUGACAAUAUAAAAGCAUAAAAGAAAUUUUGUAAAACCAUUGAAAAGUUUAGUAUCUAAGAAAGGAUGACUUGAUGUCAAAUUGUAAAACGAUUUGAAAGCAGUUUGUUUGAUAAGAACAAUGUAAAGUAUAAGGAAAACAUUUGUUUUGAAUCAUGAAUGUAACAGGGUUUGAAAAGAUACACUCAGUAUGCAAGACAGUUUAACAAAUAGUUUUAAUUGAGUAAAAAUGUUUUGGAAAGCCAUUUGAAGUAAAUUGUUUGGUAAAACAGCUAUAAGAGUAGUAAAUCCUUUUGUAUGCUACUUAUUAAUCACUUGUGAUUAAUAUAAUAACUAGCAUGAUUCAACUUGUAUCCCCCGCCCAUAAAGCAUUUUAAAACAUUUAAAUCAUUGAUUAAGGGGUAUGAACUCACCUGUAGCAAGUGGUUGGGAUGAACUGACUGAAAUAGGAUGAUAGGUGUCAAGUGAAGACUUGUACACCCUCUAUGAUCCUAGAUAACAUAUAAUAUCACAUAUAUGUAACCAAUUAGCCUUUAAACAACUAAUAAACAAAGCUAAGACACCCUAGGACAUGCUAAACACUUUAUAUAAAUGUUAUAGGUCCUAAGGAUUGCAUCUAAGUGUUGUAGGGAAAGGCUAGUGUGUUUGGGGUUCAAGGAAAACUCCAUUUGGGAGUUUACGGUUUUGUGGUCACUAACAAAAGGGUUUACGGUCGUAAGCCCACACACUUGUUGACCAUUUGAUGUUUGAAGCCUUAAGAGUCCCUAGAAGCUUUUCUACUUGAUGUAUGUGACCAUGGAAGUUACUAGGGCACCAUUUCACUCCUAAAUGGAGUUUACGGUCCCUAAACCAUUUUCCUUUGGGUUUAAUACCGUAAACCCAUAAGGUUUAUGGUAUUUGGGGGUUUUCAAGUCCUUAGCUCAUCAAGGUAAUUGUCUAGGUUAGAUUCUAGGCAUAAGGAAUAAAUAUGGGACAUUUAUACACUCUUUGGGGUGUUUACAGUUUUGGGAGAUCCCCAAAUCAUAAACACAUAUAAAUGAGUGCUUUUUGUGCUUUUUUUGUGAUAAACUCAUCAAGGAAGGAUCUAGACAAGUCCCUAAGGCAUUGUGAAGCACCUAGGCACCCUUUUGCACCAUAACUUGGUGUUUACGGUUCAAGAACUUCUUGAACCGUGAACACCUUGUUCUUGGUGUUCUAGGGACAUUUCCUUGAUAUUAAAAUGUAUAGCAAGCUUUAAAAGACUCUAGGAUAGAAGUACUUACUAUGUGGAAGCUUGAAAGGAGCUAAAAGUCCAAGAACACUAGUGUGUGUUCUUGGUGUUCUUGGUGAAAAUGAAAAAUCAAUCUUUUGGAAUGAUUUCACGAUUAGAAAUGUGUUAAAACACUAGAUUAAGUCAUUUAAUAACUUAAGAAGGCUAGAAACACUUACUAGAUUGAAGACCUUGAAAACUUUUGGAUGAUACUUGAGAGAGAAAAGGGUUUGGAUCUUGAGAUUUUUGGAAAAAGUGUAAAUAAUGACUAACACUCAUAUAUAUACUCCCAAAUUUAGGGUUUUGGCAGAAAAUAUUUUAUUCGGGCAGUAAACUCUAAUUUCUUAGAGUUUUGGAAUAACAGUGUUGCACAAUAAUCCUAGGGCAUCCUCUCUCCAGAUAUCACCUGAAGUGUAAAUCCUAAAAUACUCAAACUUGUUCCGAAAAGUUUGAAAUUUAGCAGCAACUUUUCUGGUUUCUAUUGCAUUGAAGGGUUGCAAAGAAUAGAAAUUUCGGGUUGUCACACAUAAACACCACCAUGCAUCAAUAUAUUACAACUGGAAUUGUUCACAUCAAGUACAUUGUUUAAACAUUACAUAUCCAUACAUAAAUUGUUUGAUAGAUAUCAUAAGCAAAACACCCUAACAUACUUGGUACUUAUUCCUUGACUUACCUGUUACCUGAGAAUACAAGUUAUUUUGAAAAAAGGUCAACAUAUGAAAUGUUGGUGAGUUCAUAAGUAUGUUGUAUUAAAAUGAUUUGCAUAAUUUGUAAAACCCAGCAAAUCCGAUAUUUUCUGAAAAGACCAUUGUUUAAAAAAAAGGUGUGAAGAUCCAUACCAUAUGCAUGAUGAUUUCAAAACAUGUACAAUUGAAGAACUUUAGUAUUUAUCGUACAAGUGAAAAUGUUGAACUUCCUCGGGAAACCCAAUGUUUUCCAAAUACAUAAAAUACAGUGAUUUCUCAAAUUGUUAUACCGCCACAAUGAAUGAGUUUGAUUACUCGGGUGGUGUUGGAUUAAUUAAGGUUUGUGAGUUGUUAUAAUAAUGCAUUAGUAAUGACUAGUUUAUAACUACAGUUUACGAACGAUCCUUAGAGGCGUCGUCCGUUAUAACUCACUUAAUCCAACCACCUUGAUUACUCUCGAUUAUCGCCCUGAAUCUGUUUACGUUGAUUACUCAUAAGCCUAGCAAACGAGGAAAAGAGGAGUAUAAGUCCUGCUACUUCCGUGAGUUUACUUUAGGCCGUCGGGGAUGCGAAAGACUCGUUGGUCCAUCUCGCAUUUGAUUACUUUGACCUUACUGGCAAUACUAUUGGAUCACUAGGGCCCAAAAGCACUUGAGAGCCAUUGAAGGUCCCUUUAUAUGGAAUUGGGCCAUAGAAGGCCCAAUAACAUAUAAACAUUAUCCCUUGGGCCCAAAGAUCAUGUUAAUGGACUUGCAAGGUCCAACAAGCAUGAUUUGAAACUUUCAAGCCCAAGUGUCGAAUGUUUACUUGUCUUAGGUAUCGCUUAUCUAUUGGAGGGUUCGAUUUAACGGUUGUUGUUUUUGUAUCGAUUCAAGACCAAUCGAUUUGUUUAUAACGAUAUUUGGAGUUAAACGUGUAUUCGUCUUUUAAUUUUUCAUAAGUAAUGGUUUUGUAUUUGACUUAAUGAAAUAAUUUGCUUAAAACAGUGGUUUGACCUUUUCAACACCUUCCUUUUUAUAAAAAUGACAGUUUUAGUCCUUUAUAUAAAAGAAAAGACAUUUUUAGCCCUUAAAAUAUUUUCUUGACACUUUUGCAUCAUAGAUUUGUUGAAAUGAUAGUUUUAACUCAAAACUUAUUUUUUUUAACAGUUUCACCCCUUUCAGAAUAGUAUUUUUCGAUUUAAUACCCAACUUUCCACAAUUUUUACAGUUUUGGCCCAAAAUCCAAAAACUUUACAUUUUUUUUUAUCCUUUUUGGAAAUGAAAAGCAUUUUUGACCCUUGAAAUAGUUUUGUUACACUUUUUAUCCCUUGAUUUGAAGAAAGUUUCAUUUCAGCCCCUUUAAUUGUCAUUUUUCGCAAUUUUGGGCUUAUUGGGCCGAAAAGCCCAAAAUUAGCCCAUUAAGCUAAAAAUUUACAUUUCAAGUCCUUUGAAAAUUUUAAUAUUCAGAAAAACAAUUAUUAAAACUGUUUUGACUCUUUUGACCCUUAAGAAACCGUGAUUUGGCAACUUUUAACCCAAAUUUUUGUAUAUUUGACAAUUUAAGCCCAAAAAUGGGUUUUAUGUUGAAGUAUGUUUAACACAAUCUUAUAAGUUAUUAUUCUUGACUUUUUUGGUGUAAAAUAACUUAGAUCAUGUUUGUUUACUUUCUCAUGUCAUAGAUCUCGAGUUAACACCCCUUUUUAGUUACAUGUUCAUCACAAAAACACAUAAAAUCAUACAUACAUGCAUAAAAUCACACAUAGCAUACACAUACACAUAGAUCUACACAUUUUCUUGUAUUCUCCCCCAUAAAACAUAUGAAAAUCGAAAAGAUAGGGGUAUGAAGCUCACCUUAAGUUGUGGUUUCGGUUUUUGAAGGAAGAGAUGAAGAAAGUUUCGAUCCUAGCAAGUCUUCUUGGAGGAUCUCGAACUUAGAUGUUUAUAAGAGGGUGAUCAUGAGUUUGAAUAGAUUAGGAAGAGAUUUUUGAUAAGCAAAAGAAUCAAGAUCAUAUAUCCAAGAAAUAACUUACCUUAGAUGAUGAAUUUGUGGAAUAAUCUCCUUGGAAAGCUUCCUAAAUCUCGAAAAUUUGGUGAAGAGUGAACAGAGUUUCUUUGAGAGUGUUUGAGUAAAACGUGUGUGUGUGUGUUUGUGUUGGUUUCGGCCAAGAGAAAAAGAGAGAGGAGGGAAGAGAUACUUUUGAGUUGACAUGCAUGAAAACAUGAGAUUUUUGCAUGGGGUUCCAAUGGUUAAAUGUGAGGUGGCAACUUAAAGUCAACUCCUUCUCUUUUGGGUUGUUGGGCCGAGAAAAAAAGAGGGGAAAGAA